rnacentral:rRNA from 1 species
UACGUAGGGUGCGAGCGUUGUCCGGAAUUAUUGGGCGUAAAGGGCUCGUAGGCGGUUUGUCGCGUCGGGAGUGAAAACACUGGGCUUAACUCAGUGCUUGCUUCCGAUACGGGCAGACUAGAGGUAUUCAGGGGAGAACGGAAUUCCUGGUGUAGCGGUGAAAUGCGCAGAUAUCAGGAGGAACACCGGUGGCGAAGGCGGUUCUCUGGGACGGUACUGACGCUGAGACGCGAAAGCGUGGGGAGCGAACAGG